UACGUAGGGGGCAAGCGUUGUCCGGAAUUAUUGGGCGUAAAGAGCGCGUAGGCGGUCCGAUAAGUCGGCUGUGAAAGUCAGGGGCUCAACCCUUGAAAGCCGGCCGAUACUGUCGGACUAGAGUCCGGAAGAGGCAAGUGGAAUUCCCGGUGUAGCGGUGAAAUGCGCAGAUAUCGGGAGGAACACCAAUGGCGAAGGCGGCCAUCUGGGACAACACUGACGCUGAGGCACGAAAGCGUGGGGAGCAAACAGG
rnacentral:rRNA from 1 species